UAUAUAACUAAUAAACAUCACAUGAUUAAGUUUUAACUGCAAAUAACGAUUUUGUUACCACUGUUAACGCUCGUUAAUUCGGAUGUCUGAUUUUGUCAAAAAAAAU
rnacentral:sRNA from 1 species